UGGCCUUUGAGAGAUAUCCCCGGGAACUGGGGCUAAUUCUCGAUAGGCGAAGAACUCUGGAAUGAGUCUUCACCCAAAAGAGCCUGCGUUAUGCUCGUAGGUUUCGCCCAAGGAUGGGGCCGCGACCGAUCAGGUUGUUGGUGAGGUAAUGGCUCACCAAGCCUUUAACCGGUGCGGGCCGUGGGAGCGGGAGCCCGGAGAUGGGCACUGAGACAAGGGCCCAGGCCCUACGGGGCGCAGCAGUCGCGAAAACUUUGCAAUAAGCGAAAGCUUGACAGGGCUAUCCCGAGUGCCAUCCGCUGAGGAAGGCUUUUACCCAGUCUAGAACGCUGGGGGAAUAAGGAGAGGGCAAGUCUGGUGUCAGCCGCCGCGGUAAUACCAGCUCUUCGAGUGGUGUGGAUGUUUAUUGGGCCUAAAGCAUCCGUAGCUGGCUAGGUUAGUCCCUUGUUAAAUCCACCGAAUUAAUCGUUGGAUUGCGGGGGAUACUGCUUGGCUAGGGGACGAGAGAGGCAGACGGUAUUUUCGGGGUAGGGGUGAAAUCCUAUAAUCCCGGGAAGACCACCAGUGGCGAAGGCUGUCUGCUAGAACGCGCCCGACGGUGAGGGAUGAAAGCUGGGGGAGCGAACCGGAUUAGAUACCCGGGUAGUCCCAGCUGUAAACGAUGCAGGCUAGGUGUUUGGACGGCCACGUGCCGUUCUAGUGCCGCAGGGAAGCUGUUAAGCCUGCCGCCUGGGGAGUACGAUCGCAAGAUUGAAACUUAAAGGAAUUGGCGGGGGAGCAC
rnacentral:rRNA from 1 species